rnacentral:tRNA from 1 species
GAGGAUAUAGCUCAAGUGGUAGAGCACAUGCUUAGCAUGCACGAGGUUCUGGGUUCAAUCCCUAGGACCUCC